rnacentral:sRNA from 1 species
GUCAGUCGCUCCCCGGCCGGUCUGGCUGGUGGCUGCACUUCCGACGAGGUGCACUCAGGGCUGACCAGCUCCAGUCAUCAGUCAAAGGGGGUGCCUUGAUGACUACGUUCGGUGUAAGCGAGCCCACCCACCCCGUCGUGCUUCCUCAGCGGCGGGCUCUGGAAUCCGCGCCAGCAGACAACCCUGGGAGCAGGGACGAAACGGGACGCGGACUCCGUCGGCGAUCGACCGACGGCACUGGCAUCGGACAUGAGCGAGGGGAGACUCCCGGUGGCAGCACC